rnacentral:rRNA from 1 species
UACGUAGGGGGCAAGCGUUGUCCGGAAUCAUUGGGCGUAAAGAGCGUGUAGGCGGUUCGGUAAGUCGGAUGUGAAAACUCCAGGCUCAACCUGGAGCCGCCAUUCGAUACUGCUAUGGCUAGAGUCCGGUAGGGGAGUGUGGAAUUCCCGGUGUAGCGGUGAAAUGCGCAGAUAUCGGGAGGAACACCGAUGGCGAAGGCAGCACUCUGGGCCGGCACUGACGCUGAGGAGCGAAAGCGUGGGGAGCGAACAGG